rnacentral:rRNA from 1 species
CAGCCGCCGCGGUAAUACGUAGGGGGCGAGCGUUGUCCGGAAUUAUUGGGCGUAAAGGGCUCGUAGGUGGUUCGUUAAGUUAGAUGUGAAAUUGUGCGGCUUAACCGCGCAUUGGCAUCUGAUACUGGCGGGCUUGAGGCAGGUGGAGGAGAAUGGAAUUCCUGGUGUAGCGGUGGAAUGCGCAGAUAUCAGGAGGAACACCGAUUGCGAAGGCAGUUCUCUGGGCCUGUUCUGACGCUGAGGAGCGAAAGCGUGGGGAGCGAACAGGAUUAGAUACCCUGGUAGUCCACGCUGUAAACGAUGGAUGCUAGGUGUGGGGUCCGCUUGUGGGUUCCGUGCCGUAGCUAACGCAUUAAGCAUCCCGCCUGGGGACUACGGCCGCAAGGCUAAAACUCAAAGGAAUUGACGG